rnacentral:rRNA from 1 species
UACGUAGGGAGCAAGCGUUGUCCGGAUUUACUGGGCGUAAAGAGCGCGCAGGCGGUCGAUCAAGUCGAGUGUGAAAGCCCCCGGCUCAACUGGGGAGGGUCAUUCGAUACUGAUCGACUCGAAGGCAGGAGAGGGUAGUGGAAUUCCCGGUGUAGUGGUGAAAUGCGUAGAUAUCGGGAGGAACACCAGUGGCGAAGGCGACUACCUGGCCUGUUCUUGACGCUGAGGCGCGAAAGCUAGGGGAGCAAACGGG